GGGAAUAUAGUUUAGUGGUAGAGUGCUUGCCUAGUAUGCAGGAAGCCCUGGGUUUGAUUCCUCAGUACCA
rfam:Dipodomys ordii contig_36962, whole genome shotgun sequence.